UUCCUUAAUUGGGAACUGGGAUGAAGGGUUGAAACUUUAUGGAUUGUUUUGUUUAAUGAAUUUGAACUUAAAUUAAAGGUAAAAAUGCUUUUAUGAAUUUCUGGGACGAGAAGACCCUAGAAGCUUAAAAGGAGGGACCUUUUUGGUUGGGGCAACUAUUGAAGAGGUAAAUUUUUAAUUAAAAUUAAAGAAAUUAUUAUAAAGUUACUCUAGGGAUAACAGCGUAAUCUAAUUGACAAGUUCUUAUUAAUAAUUAGGUUUGCGACCUCGAUGUUGAAUUAAAGGAAAAUUUAUGAUGAAGGAGUUAUAUAAGGUUAGUCUGUUCGACUAUUAAAAUUUUACAUGAUUUGAGUUCAAACCGGCUUAAGCCAGGUCGGUCUUAAUC
rnacentral:rRNA from 1 species